rnacentral:rRNA from 1 species
ACGAACGCUGGCGGCAGGCUUAACACAUGCAAGUCGAGCGCAUCCUUCGGGGUGAGCGGCGGACGGGUGAGUAACGCGUGGGAACGUGCCCUCUUCUACGGAAUAGCCUCGGGAAACUGAGAGUAAUGCCGUAUACGCCCGCAAGGGGAAAGAUUUAUCGGAGGAGGAUCGGCCCGCGUUGGAUUAGGUAGUUGGUGGGGUAACGGCCUACCAGGCCGACGAUCCAUAGCUGGUUUGAGAGGAGGAUCAGCCACACUGGGACUGAGACACGGCCCAGACUCCACGGGAAGGAGGCAGUGGGAAUCCUGGAACAAGGGGGGCACCCUGAAUCCGCCAAUCCGGGGUGAUCAAUGAGGGCUUAGGGUUGUAAAGAUCUUUCAGCUGGGAAGAUAAUGACGGUACCAGCAGAAGAAGCCCCGGCUAACUCCGUG